rnacentral:lncRNA from 1 species
GCAAAGGCAAGCAGGCCAGAAUCUUGGUGUAUCUGCUGGCUUACCGUCUAACUCGGGCUGGGACGGAACCAGACAGGGACUCACUAUAUAACCUUGGCUAACUUGGAACUUACUAUGUAGACUACAUUGCCUUUAAACUCAGAAGUCUGCCUCCUGAGUACCAAGCUCUUGGUACUGAAGGCAGAAACCAGAGCCUCACACAUAUUGGGCAAGCACCUGAAAGUUAUCCUUGGGUCAAAACAUGAAAAUCCUUAAAAGGAAAUAAAUAAGUAAGUAUUCCUUUUAUAUAGAUUUUGCCCUCAAGUGCGGAUGGUAGUAUCUACCUAACUUUAUUACAAGGAAGACCCGUUAUAGUUACCAUGACUAGCUUUCAAAUAAUGGCCUUCAAUAUGUGUAGUGCUCAUACACUUACUUUAUUUAAGUAAAUAGACUUCACUUUCUGGCUCCUGGGACCUCUACUUCAUCUGUGUUAGCUUAAUUUAAAAGCCUAGAUUUGAAGGUAAAACAUUGGGUUGCUGUCUUUUUUUUUUUUUUUUUUCUUUCUUUUUGGUUUUUUGAGACAGGGUUUCUCUGUGUUGCCCUGGCUGUCCCAGAUCUUGGUCUGUAGAGCAGGUUGACCUUGAACUCACAGAGUCCUGCCUUUGCCUCCGGAGUGCUGGGAUUAAAGGCUUGCGCCACUAUCGCCCGGCAACACUGGAGUUUUCACUUGUAUUUUGACUUCUGGUGACCAGUGGAUUUUUUUUUUUUUUUUUUUUGUACUUUAGUUUCUCUCCUAGUUGGUGUGUGGUUGGUAAGAGAAGUUCUCAGCUGUCACUUGGUGGGAAAGGCAGCAUCUCAUGGCCACGCCCCUUUCACUCGUGGGCUCCAGCAGGUGCUGGGGUCCUGACUCUCCCCGGUGGGUUUUUCUUUUUACAGCCUCAGACAUCGGACCUGUUGUUUCCACAUCUCUUUUCCCAUCUAAACACUUUUUAUUUAUUUAUUUAUUUAUUUUUGCUUAAAGCAGUUUUGUUAUUAGGUGAUCAUCUUAAGCAUUCAGGACAGCCUACAUCGGUCGGCUACACAGUUCAUCUUCUCUGGUGUUUGAUCCAGAUGUGUUUUUAUGGAAAUAAAAGAAUUAGAUUUAUUCUUGCAUCAGAGAUAACC